ACUUAGCCCUGAUGGAAGCGGCAUCCCGUCUCGUCUCGUCUUUUUGGACGAGACGAGACGGAUAUAGUGGACAGCAGGAAAAAUG
rnacentral:sRNA from 1 species